GAAGGUCAAUUUACAAGGCUAAGGAGGACUUUAAGAAUUGCUUCAAAAGAGUUUUUUCUUACUUUCCUUUAUCUUUUACUAAUUCUUGGAUGAUGGUUUACUUGUGGAUUGUGAUUUUUAAUUCAGUUAUGAACUAAAUCAUAUUUAAGAUUGCAAUGGUACUUGAUGAGUAGCUAUAAUUAACUUAUUCUUGUUGAUUAUUAUUGAUUAUUUGGGAUUGUCUAUUAUAUCUUGCGUUCAAUUGAUUAAUAGUUUGAUCAACA
rnacentral:lncRNA from 1 species